rnacentral:lncRNA from 1 species
AAGCAGAUCGGCGGCCGCGGGGAGGUUCGGGGCGGCGCAGCCCCGCGCGGUUGUGGGAUCGCUCCCGGGGGCCGCUCCUCUCUCGGGCACUGGGGUCGCGGGAGACGUCGUCGGGAGCUCGGUUUCUGGAGGCCCUUCCCCACCCGGCCUCUGCCUCCUCCACUCCCCCGGGCUGGACGGAACGGGGCCCAGCGCGGGAUGCGAGGGUCUUACUAUGUCACCCAGACUGAAGUGCAGUGGCAUGAUCACAGGUCAUUGCAUCCUCAACCACCCAGACUCAAGCAAUCCUCCUGUCUCAGCCUUCCAAGUAACUGAGACCACAGACAAAGCCUCACUCUGUCACCCAGACUGGAGUGCAGUGGUAUAAUCAUAGCUCACUACAGCCUUGACCUCCUGAGCUCAAGCAGUCCUCCUGUCUCAGCCUCCCAAGUAGCUGGGAUGACAGUGUGCACCACCACACCCAGCUAAUUUUUUUUUUUUUGGUCUUGCUGUGUUGCCCGGGCUGGACUCAAGUGAUCUUCCCUUCUCAGCCUCUCAAAGUGCUGGAAUUACAGGCAUGAGCCACCGUGCCCAGCCAGAGAAAUAACCAUGGAUAUGGGUAGAGACAGAGCCAUAUGGAAUGCACACUGCAGUGGUGAACACAUGGCCCAGCUCUGCCAUCAAGGAGAAGGAACAUGAAUGGAGCUGGAGGCCAUCAUCCUUAGUGAACUAACACAGGAGCAGAAAACCAAAUACCACAUGUUCUCAUGUGUAAGUGGGAGCUAAAUGAUGAGAACACAUGGACACAAAGAGGGGAACAACAGACACUGAAGCCUCCUUGAGGGAGGAGGGUAAGAGGAAGGAGAAGAUCAGAAAAGAUAACUACCAGGUACUAUGGUAGCUUAGUACCUGGGUGAUGAAAUAAUCUGUACACCCAACCCUCAUGACAGAAGUUUACCUGUGUAACAAACCUGCACAUGUAUCCCUGAAACUAAAAGUUUUUUAAAAAGUUAUUUAAUAUAUAUAUAUUUUUUUGAGACGGAGUUUUGCUCUUGUUGCCCAGGCUGGAGUGCGGUGGCGCAAUUUCGGCUCACCACAACCUCCGCCUCCCAGGUUCAAGCUAUUCCCCUGCCUCAGCCUCCCUAGUAGCUGGGAUUACAGGCUUGUGCCACCACGCCGGCUAAUUUUGUAUUUUUUGUAGAGACGGGGUUUCUCCAUGUUGGUCAGGCUGGUCUCGAACUCCCGACCUCAGGUGAUCCACCCCCCUCGGCCUCCCAAAGUGCUAGGAUUACAGGCAUGAGCCACUGCGCCCGGCAAAAAGUUAUUUAAUAUUAAUGGGACAAUACUCAUUGCAAGAAUCAGACUUCAAUUGCUAGCAUAAGUAAAUGACAGGCAGGAGAUAUUGAAAAUGCAAUCUUAUAGACAUUCAAGGAGAGGACGCAGGACAUUUCUGUGUCAUAAAUGUACUAUGGAAAAUAAAAAUGAGAAAAAUGGAAAUAAAAUACAAGAAAAGGUUAUGAUAAAUUUCAUAUUAUUUUACCACAAUAAAAAAAUUUUAAUAAAUUAUAAAUGGUGUGAUAUGUUUUGCCUGUGUUCCACCCAAAUCUCAUCUUGAAUUAGAGCUCCCACAAUUCCCACGUGUUGUGGCUGGGACCCUGUGGGAGAUAAUUGAAUCAUGGGGGCAGUUUACCCCAUACUGUUCUCUUGGUGGUGAAUAAGUCUCAUGAGAGUUGAUGGUUUGAUAAGGGGUUUCCCCUUUUGCUUGGCUCUCAUUCUCUCUUGACUGCCACCAUGUAAGAUGUGCCUUUUGCCUUCCACCAUGAUUGUGAAGCCUCCCAGCCACAUGGAACUGUGAGUCCAUUAAACCUUUUUCUUUACAAAUUA